UACGUAGGCGGCAAGCGUUGUCCGGAGUUAUUGGGCGUAAAGCGCGCGCAGGCGGUGCGGUAAGUCUCUGGUGAAAGCGCUCGGCUUAACUGGGCGAGGGCCGGGGAGACUGCCACGCUGGAGGGGAGCAGAGGCGAGUGGAAUUCCGGGUGUAGUGGUGAAAUGCGUAGAGAUCCGGAGGAACACCAGUGGCGAAGGCGGCUCGCUGGGCUCUACCUGACGCUGAGGCGCGAAAGCGUGGGGAGCGAACAGG
rnacentral:rRNA from 1 species